AUGUGCCACCGGCGAAAUCGCAGGGCACCGCCUAGCAGAGACACACCAAAAAGCACUCGAGCACGAACAUCGCCAAAGACACAAACCCACCGUCGACCCCCAAGCCGGCCGCAACACCAUCAACAUCAACCACACCCCACCGACAACCGCCACCCACGCAAGCCGGAUGUCACCAAUAGCCAUGGUCUCCAAGAUGAUGCCUCCAAGGAGGUAGCGACGAACUUGACGCCAUCGUCAUCCGAUCUAGCAAAACAAGAUCUUGGGCUUUCGCCCGGAGACACUCUCGAAGGAUUUGGGUGA
rnacentral:rRNA from 1 species